CCGGGUGUACCUUAAACGUCGAAGUAACCGGUAAGGAGUUCCGCCGUAGGGUAAACUGGUGACUGGGGCUAAGUCGUAACAAGGUACCC
rnacentral:rRNA from 1 species